GCUCCUAUCGUUUAGUGGUAAAGACAAUGCUUUUUCGUGGCGUAAACGUGAGUUCAACUCUCACUGGGAGUA
rnacentral:tRNA from 1 species